UACGUAGGGUGCAAGCGUUGUCCGGAAUUAUUGGGCGUAAAGAGCUCGUAGGCGGUGUGUCACGUCGGCCGUGAAAACCUGCAGCUUAACUGUGGGCGUGCGGUCGAUACGGGCAUCACUGGAGUUCGGCAGGGGAGACUGGAAUUCCUGGUGUAGCGGUGAAAUGCGCAGAUAUCAGGAAGAACACCAAUGGCGAAAGCAGCUUUCUGGGACGGUACUGACGCUGAGACGCGAAAGCGUGGGGAGCGAACAGG
rnacentral:rRNA from 1 species